rfam:Corynebacterium glucuronolyticum ATCC 51866 genomic scaffold SCAFFOLD8, whole genome shotgun sequence.
ACUCAGGCACGACCCGUUUCGCUCAUGGCGAGUGCACGACGGGGACGACCUGAAGUCUCAAUCCUGAGGGA